CACAACUCCGUUAAACACUGACGCUUUGUGAUAGGUACUCAGGAAACAUCACGCUAUUUUGUGCUGGCAUAUUAGAAAUAAGAUCAUAAGCUUGGAAUAACAUAUACUUCACCUUCUAGAAAUUUGGAUAAGAAUUGUUUGAAAACGCAACGAACAUAUUAAAGUCGGUAUAGAAUUGGAAUUUUCCUAUACACAGUUAUAAAGAACCUAGCUGAAUCUCGACGUGUAUAUAUUAUUCUUUGGAUAAGAAUUCUGUGACGAAAGGCCCAAGCAACACCGGAUCAAAAUACAACACUAAAGAGAGACGAUCGGGUGAAGUUCUCGGGCUAGGAUUCAACCUUAAUUGUCGUGCUCAAAACGAAGUGAAACAUCUAGAAUUCUAGAAGGAGCGAAGCCAAAGAAAAAGCUUUGCUAUUAAUUGUGUGAAAGUGACAAAGAAAUUAAGUGGUUUUAUUUAUUACAACACAGAGACUUUGAGUGUUGCUGCGGUGAUAUAUAGCAACGCUGCCCAUCAUAAAAGCUUGGGAAAUUCAAAAUUAACAAAACACGGUUACAGUCGCUGUGCUCAAGAGACGCUGGGCGAAAUUUUAUCUUUGAAAGAAUCGAGGACGAGAUCGAGGACUUAUAUCACCAAAAAGAAUCGAAUAAUUAGACUUGAAGGAAAGUUUAUCGUUUUAAAGGUAAGAAAGCGUCCAAGCCUCAAUUUAGUUACAGAAUCUAAAUAGAUUAUUUUUACUGAUUUUUCAUGUUAAUACAAAUAUACAUUGACCCCUAUAUAAGCUCAAACGAGUGCGGUCAAAAGCUUUUCCGCUCUUUGAGAAACCGGCGAAGAAAGCUCAUGACUAUGUGUUACGCAUCUCUUUAUUUUCAAUAAAAUUGACGUGGCAUUAAUGGGGCCUCAGGCUAUCAAGAUUUCGAAAGGUAAAAUAUAUUGCAUGAAUUAACAUUGAAAGUGGCUAGUUUCAUGAGUAAGGCCAGUUUUAAUUUGCAUACAUAAAGAAAACAUUAUCAACAUUGAUACUGCCCUAGUUAACAUGAAUAAUCUGGUAGAAAAAUAUUCAUGCGAUUAGAGAAUUCUGAACUCUGAAUCAAUAUUUUAAGCGGACACACUGACUUUUAGUUGUGGCGAAGAUUAUAAAAAUAUUUCAAAUUAAAGACUGUUAAUUUAAUUGACUCAUGCAGAAAGUCAUGUCUCUGCGUCAGGAUUAAGUCCACACUAAAUCUGUGACGACAAUAUAGUAGUCCCAAAUUGCGGUCCGUAAAUCGUAAUUAUCCAAAACAAAAUAGUAACCAGUAGCAAUUUUAGCUAUGGGAUGAACACGCUUGCAACGCAUAGCACAAAAAUAUAAUUUAUAAUCGCAUCGUUAAAAUAUAAUUUAUAAUCGGGCGACAAAAAUUCACGUAGUUUGUGG